rnacentral:tRNA from 1 species
UUUUGGCUCAGCGGUAGAGUACUCGCCUCACAUGUGUGAGACCCUGGGUUUGAUCCUCAGCACAUAAAAA